ensembl:misc_RNA Y_RNA Y RNA
GGAUAGAAAAGUGGUGUUCACAACAAAUGGAUCACAACCAGUUACAAAUUUCUUUGUUACCUCUCCACUCCCAUUGCCUCAUGAAUAGCCAAAU